GGGAAGGAGGAGUACUACGGAUCGCUACGAGGUUCAGUCCAAGCCCAUUUAAUCUUGUUUCUCGAUGUUUCCGGAAGAGCUUAUUUAUUCUUUCUAUAAAUAUCUAAUGAGUCUUUGCUGCGCGCCUGGCGCUGCUAUAAAUGCUGAAUAAACAAAAGUGAACAAAACAGACAAAAAUUAUUGUCCUCGUGGAGUUGACAUUCUAGUGGAACAAGACAGUUGUUAAAACCAAUAGCCGGCGCCGUGGCUCGCUCUUGGAAUCUCAGCUAUUGCCUUAUUUGCUUCUUGCAAUAACCACAGGAAAGAAGAAGAAUAGAUAUUUUCAUUCCCAUUGGACAAAUGAAAACACUGAAGCAUGGAAAAGUUAAUUGAAUUACCUAAGAAAUCACACACGUUUUGGGGUACAUGUGAAGAACAUGCAAGAUUGUUG